CUUUUUCAUUCCAGUCUGUAUUCAUCUAUAAUAAAAAAAUUCUACAGAAUUUAUUGUGACACUAUAGUUAGCAAUAAAAAUGAGUUCAAUGCAGGCAAAGUACUGGAGAAGUUGAAUUUUGAAGCACAUGAUAGAAGAACAUAAGAGAAAGUGCAUUCUGGGUAGCAAAAGGAAGGAAUUUUUUAAGAGAGUGCAAGGUUUCUUUGAAUUCUGCAAGUAAAAUAUCCAGACACAAACAUUGGCUAAGGAAAAUAAAUCACCAUGAGGAGUACCUACUUAAAAUCUGACAAGCACAUUCCACAACUCAACUAAUAAAGAUGCUAUGAGUAAAAUGUUGGCCAGAAUACAGCAUCAUUGUGGUGACAGAGUGUUAGGGGAGUAAAGACGGAAAAGCAAACAAACACUGAGUAAGAAUGUCUAAGCAAAUAUGGUUUUGGCAACAGAAUCAAGACAGCAUCAAACAACCCUCAUUACAGAUUAUUUGUAGAAGCUUUUCCCAGA